CUUCGCCCCCAAAAGUAUGUUUCCCUUGGUUACUCCUCCCUCCCCUACUGCAAGAUUUAACAGAGGAAGCAGUGUUACUAUUCUUCAAAGCCUUCCUAGCUUCAGCAAUAGAGAAUUUAAACAGGAAGCUUCUGAAGAUGGAGACAACUCAAAGAAAUGUCCCUACUUACCUUGCCCUGUCGAUCUUUAACUUGUUGUGUUGCUGCCUCCCGCUUGGAAUAGCUGCUCUCAUCUUUUCUCUCAGAGUAGAGAAUGCAGCUGGGACAGGUGACAUGGAGCGAGCGUCCCAAGCUUCCCGCACUGCCCGCAUACUGAAUAUCAUCGGGAUUGUCGUAGGAGUAAUUUUCCUCAUCAUUAUAAUUGUUGUCGUGGUAGUGGGAAGAAGCGCCAAGUGAUAGAAGCCAGCGUCACCUUCAAAAAACUAAGCCAUACUAUUGUUAGACAGAAGGGAAAAGGAGAGGGAUAGGAAAGAAAAGAACUAAGGUGCGGGAAAGGAAAGGGCACAUAAGAGUAUGUGUCUAUGUGAGGCACUAGUUUCGCGUCCCAGGGAGUGCUCAGGGGUUAGCCAGAUCUGGUGGGCAUGGUGAGGUCAUCUGAGGUCCCUCUCUUUGGCCUGGUCUGGUCAGGACAUCUCUUGGGAUUGGGACAAAAAAGGCACAGUGGAGUCACACUAAAUCCCAGAAGACCAUGGAGUUGGCAGCCAUGAUGGUGACGCUCACACCUUCCCCUUUUCUCAUCUUCCAGUCAGCUAGCAUUCACAUCUCUCCAUCCCUGAUUUUCCCUCAAAAGUCUGUUUUUAAAGACCCCAAAAGGAACUAAUGGGUGGAAUAGCCCGUCCUCUCAUCUUUUUGUCCAUCAAUUAGGCCUAUUUUCCAACACACCAGAUCGGGUUCAUUGAUUUCUGGCCUUACACCCCUUGCUUACCAGACAUGAUGUUAACACAAUCCUUGAGUUCUAUCAGGAGGCCUUUUUUGUUUAGACUAAUUCAGUCUUUCUGUUUCCCUUUUGUACCUUUUCUGAUUAACAUUCAUUGUUACAGGUUAUUGGAAUAUUUCUUAAAUUUUUAUUCACUUUCCCACAGAUGAGCUCACAACUCGGGUAAAUUUAUAGGCCCAGUUUUUACAACAAUGCUGACAUGAAUGGUAAGCAACGGCUCCUGUAUUUGUUUCCUGCUCUGCCAUUGGACAGAUGCCCUUUUACUAUGCUUCUUCCUUUGUAAAGGUACAGAAUGGGGAGGUAGGUGGUAUUAGGGUUGAAUGCACUAGCCUGAUACCUCUGGAGAGAUGAAUUCAAAUCCACUCUUAGACCCUGAUUCAGGAAUGUGUUUAAGCUCCAUUAACUUCAAUGGGACUUGAGCACAUGUUUAAGCACUUUACUGAAUCAGGGACUUAGUUUCAUUAGAUUUUGGAUUUAGAGUCUGAUAGGAGUCUUGCCGCUGGCUUCAAUGGGAGAUGAAUUGGGUUCAUAGUUCACAGGUGGCUGAGUCUGGUAGGUCUCAUCCUAAUCACUGCUUAUUUAUAUCCCAACCACCAUCACACAGUUCAUCCAGGAGUUGGAGUGUCAGGAGGUGCUAUUGGACUGGACUGAGGUGCCAUCAGCACAGUUGGAGAGGGCCAGGACUGUCGUGUGACAGGUGGCAAUUUCCUGGACAAACGUUAAGCUUAAUACAUUUUGGAGAGCAUUGUAUUAAAAAUGCAAUUGCUUAUGUGCUAUUGUGAGAUUGUGUGCAACUUCUCUAGGAGGAGGGGGUAUGCUUAUAUAUUUCCUCCACUUAUCAGCCCUUUUGAAGCUUUGCCCUGGCAAAUCCAUUGUCUGGCUGAUUACCUAUUCACAUUUCUUCCAACUGGAUUUUCCAAGGACCCAACAGACAAAGAAAGGAUUCUUGAAUAAAUAGCCUGAGUUUAAACUGAUUCAGAGCGGCCUUCAUUCUGAUCCAGCAAAGGGACAAGGCCUCUGGCUCACGGAGGGUCCCUCUCUUUAGGGCAGGGUUGGAAGGACUGAUAUCAACUAGAGCCCUUGUGGCGAGAAGGGAGGAGGUGAUCUCUGGCAAGCUUAUUACCGUGCAUGUAGGUUCUUUUAGUGUUUUUAAUGUUUGCUGUGUAAUACUUUUA